rnacentral:rRNA from 1 species
AUUGAACGCUGGCGGCAGGCCUAACACAUGCAAGUCGAGCGAGAGGCGGACGGGGGAGGAAUGUAUGGGGAAAGCCCGAUAGAGGGGGAUAAAACCGGGAAACGGUAGCUGAAACAGCACACUAUCGGAUAACCCAUAUGGGAUAAGCUAGAAGGUGGGGGAAUGGCUCACCUGGGCGACGAUCCCUAGCUGGUCUGAGAGGAUGAUCAGCCACACUGGGACUGAGCCACGGCCCAGACUCCUACGGAGGCAGCAGUGGGGAAUAUUGCACAAUGGGCGCAAGCCUGAUGCAGCCAUGCCGCGUGUAUGAAGAAGGCCCUAGGGUUGUAAAGUACUUUCAGUCGGGAGGCGUUACCGACAGAAGAAGCACCGGCUAACUCCGUGCCAGCAGCCGCGGUAAUUC